UUUUGUAGUGUAAGACCCCCUUUCGGGGACCCCCGCUCUAGUCUCAGGAGUGUGAGAGCACCCAAAGAAACACGAGGACCC
rnacentral:pre_miRNA from 7 species